rnacentral:lncRNA from 1 species
CUCCAGCUACUGUGCCUUCAUUGUUAGAAGAUGGGAACUGCCAGUACCAUAUUUGGAUCACAAUCUAUUUUUCUCUUAUAGGCUUUAACUAAACAUUUAAAAAAGCUGUAGUUAUGAAAAGCCAAAAGUCUUGUGGGACCUGAAAAAACAGAGCAAAGCUAACUGAUCCCUCACUGUCUCUGCUCUCAGUUAACUAAAAUCUUAUCACCAAAGGAAUCCUAGAACAGAAUUUUCUCUGCAAACAAGUUAUAAGAAUCAGUGUUAAAACAUGAUUGUUUUCAGCUCCUACUUCCUCUGAUUUCCAGGGCAGCAGGAUGCAACCUGCCAGACUUCAUAAGUUUUGCUAAUCUGAAUAAAGAACAAAUGUAACAUUUGGAAAAGUAUAAAACACAAAGAAAAUGCUAGGGUUUGCAGAACUAUUUCUCUAUGGCAUCUGGCUCUCUUUGCAAAAUGUUUUUGACAUGAAGUCUGCAGCUGAAAAAUUUCAGUUUAUUGUUCUAUGCAAAGUCUCACAUUAAGUUAUUUUAAAAGAAGGCAAUUAUUAAUUAGUCCUAAUGAGGACACAUUUUGCUUUCAGCAGAUUUGUUUUAUUGAAAACGGCAGAAACAACUGAGAUGAACAACAAAACAAGCUGCAAUUAGAAGAUGAAUGUCCACUGGCCCUAGAGCAACAUAUGUAACUGACAGCUAAUGACAAACUAACCUACAUUUCCCAUAUUAAUUUUGAUCAUAAUGUAGAGCAUGGAAGAGGAGUGGUAUGUAUUCUACCAGACUUGAACUUCUCAACUGAAAAAAUGGAAAAAAUACUCAGAGCUACUUUUAUUCCCUGACAACUCUAUUAAGAGCCAAAACACAUCUAGGAACUGCAGCAGCAGCAGAUCUGUGAGGGAAUCACAAACUGCUACCUCUCUGAUGAUUUGACAAGUCAAAAGCAUUGAACUUAGUGCUACGUUUUGAGAGGAUUAAGAUUAACAGACCACUGUUACAGACAUAAAUGCUAAUUCCUGAACUGUUGAACACUACUGUCAUUAAAAAUCAGGGAGAAAAUAAAAGCCUCUAGCACUAUAUUUGAAAUUAUAGAGAACCAGGCAUUAGUUUAUUUUUUCUCCAGGAUGUGGCAAGGAAAAUAUUUCAAGCACACAUGUUUUUGCAGGAUUUCCCCCCACUUUAUACAGUCAAAACCCAUAGAGAUGCACUGUUUCAAAGUUCAUUGGUUCACAGUUGAGCAAACCCCAAUAUUCAGUUUCCCAUUGGAUCCAAAUCUCCUCGCCUCCAAUGUUAAUUAGAUCUUCAUUUCUUCGAUUUCUUAUCAGUCUUUUCCAGACCAGAUGUCUCCACCUCUUCCAGAGGGCGGCAUCUGUGAGUAGAUACUUAUAGAUAAACCUCUGACGUUACGUUGAUAGUUCAUUUAUGCCUUUUAUCUUUCUGGGUAUAUUUGGGCUACUCCCAGUCUGUUGGUAUGUUAAGCCCAUCCCCUUAGAGUGAUUCUACACUAUUGAAAAAACUAAAGAAAAUUAUUUUCCCCAAGGCAAAGUCAAACUCAAGACUAACUGUAGAGACAAAAUAAAAAUUUGAAAUUAUAUUGUUUCCAACAAUACAUAUUACAUUGAAAUAAAUGGCAAGGAGACCAAUUCCUUUUGAAUGCCUUUAUUAAAGUGAUCAGCUCUGGGUGGGGGCCGAGGGGUUGCACACACUGCCACUGCUCCCUUGGCGAUGCAGAGGAGGAGGUGAACAGUUUUGCUUCACAGUAGCACUGGGGCUUCCGUCCUCAUGGGAGUGCCUAGGAAGACAUCUUUUGGCUCGUCAAGCUUGGGGUCCUCACUCUGACUCAGUUCUACUUAGGUUAUGGUGACACUUGAAACCAUGUUGGUAGGGUACAGGGACUUCUUGCUGGUAGGUCUAGUUGCUUAGUUGUUCAAAUUUUAGGUUGGCUCAUGUGUCUAGGGUCUUUUGUUGGAUUUUCUUGCACUUUUCCUGAUCUGCAUAUUUCCCACAAAUGUUCCAGUUGCAUUUGUGGAGCAGCUGAGCAAUACCCAAUGGAUGCAAAAAGGGUUACAAGUACAGUAAAGGGGUACAACCAAAGUGUAUGUAAGGGAGUCAACAGUGGUGGUAAACAAGGGGUUUAACAGUUAACAACCAAUUAAAUUAACAUAAAUUAACUUCAAGUGCAAUUAACCACUCUAACCACAUAAACCAAUGAAACUUGUUCAAACAACAUGACUGAGAUAUACCCUCAAACAAAAUCAGACAACCCCAAUUUCUGACUAUGCUGAAAAUUGCUAUUCAGGUUUGCUUGCUACUAUCGAUACAGCUCAGCAUCGGUAACAGUGAGAUAGUACAAGUCACAGUGGCAGAUAAAAGGAGUAAGUAGAAGAGGUAUGGUCUUGAAACAAAGCCCCAUGCCUCCCUUGUACUUCUGACUACACUGGGCAGAGAACAGGGCAGAAACUUGCCAAAGCCAGUUGACGUGUUGUAGAUGGGUAAUGUGAUUGGCUCUCACAAUUAAGGGAUGAAUAUUAUAUGUAUAUUCAGAGAAGUUUUAUAGAUGAAUAGUAUAUUAUUGUGGUAUGUUCUCCCCAUAACCCUCUUUCCCCUCCCCUUUGUAUUGUUGUCACUGGAUGGCCUUGGUAGCUGGGGCACUUGGGGGCAGGCAGGCUUGUUACUAGGAGGCACAGCAUGGCAACACCUGACUUCCCGUGAAGUUGCAAAGAAAGUGAUCUCCACCAAUGGACAGCAGAGAAGAGUUGACUAACAAGACUGUGGGAGGGCCAUGGGUACAAAAGGCAGAGCAUCCAUUUUGUAGAUGAGCACAUGCAGUUUAGUUCCAUGGUCUCAGCGCUGUAAAUUUUUCCGUUAUUCAGUCUUUUUGCUGUAUUUUUUAAGAUUUAAUAAAACAUUUUAAACUUUAAAAGUGAGAGUCAUUUCUCCCAACCGAUCAUCUCUCCCUUGCUAGGCAAAGGAGUUAUCGCCUUGUGCCCAUCUAAUAAAGAAAGGAUUAAAGAAUAAUAUUAUGUAAUACUUCUAAAUCCACAUUUCUAUGUUCACUUUGUGUUGUGAGUUUGGUUUUGGUUUAUGAGUUUUGUGGGUUGGGUUUUUCUAUGGUGGUGGUUAGAUUUUUUUUUUUUUUUAAACAUGGAGGGCUCCUCUACCUGAAGGAUUAAGUUCUUAUUAAGAACUGAUUACACACACAAGAUCCAGACUGAAAAAGCACAAUAUGCACUCACUCUCUGAGUGAAAACCAUUGCCCCUUUUCUCUGAAGCAAUGUGUCCCCACAGACAGUUGGAUGCAGCAAACAGUUAAGAAUCAUCUCUAACUUCAGUUUCAAGACACAGUCAUUAGAGAGUCUCAGUAACUUUGAAGAGGAAUAACAUCAAUUUUGCUUUACUGCAGGUAUGACACAUCUAGGGGAGGCUCACCACAGAACAGCCUUCCACUCAGGAGUCAUCAGAACUUCAUAACCACCAUGCUGUGAAGUUGGAAGCUAAACAAAACCAUUCAAAAUUCAUGGCAAAGUAUCUGUAAAACAUUCUGAGGACACUCUCAACCCUCACGAAAUUGGUGACGUUAACAGCAAAUCCAGCAGACAGUUUGUUAAUGUAGCUACUUUAAAUGGAACCAGCCAAGUCCUCAAGUUUGCCCUGUGUUGACGUAUGCAUGCCAACAUUUAGCCCCUUGUGCUCCUGACUCCUAUAAUUUUAAUAUAUCACAUGUUCCUUGUUCAAGAGCCAAGUUACUUUUAUGAAGGCCAUUAAAUAUGACAAUGUACUACACUAUGAAUAUGUUUCAUUUGGGAAGGGAGAGAUAAUUACUUUGGGGCAGGGUUCUCUGAAGGCCUGAACAAUUGUGCUCAUUUCACAGCUUAGUGAUCUUUAGAAGCAUUAGAGAGUCCUGGAAAUUAAAUGACAAUACUUAUUAAAUCAUCUUUUAUCUCAUAGCCAAUGAAUUUUUCUUAUGCCUAGUAUGAAACAACCCUUAUGGAUGAUCAAAUUAAAAGAACUCAAUAAAGAGUUCUGAGCAAUUUGAAAGAUACAUCUUUUAUUUUUUCCCCUUUCCCCCCUUCUAACAUCUGAAUUGUUUUUUACAUUAGAGUCAAAAAGAGUUCAGAGCUUACAAAUUCAUAUAACUUCUGUUUGACUGCAGACAUUAUUCAUAUAACCUGACUCAGAUUUCCAGUAAGAACCCCCUGUUACACAGGGCAGCCUAAUGUGGAACAGGUCAGCUGCAAAACACUGAAUAAGUUUAAUUCAUGUGACAUCACAAGAAACAAACUGUUUAGUAGCAUGUGGAGUCAAAACCAGACUUUCUUGAAACUUCAGCAUUCCAGCAGUCAGAUGGAUUCCUUGGGAGGGUUAAGCACUCUCUGGACAAAUAUGCCCUGCAACAGACAGUCAUGAGGACCAAAAGGGGCUGGAACAAAGCACCCUGUGAUAUAGAUGGUGCCAAAAGGACAACAGCAAGUACUCACUGCAGAGCAGUACAGCAAAUAAACACCAGAAGCUCUUGUUCCCUGGCAUUACCAAAAUGUUUGCAGUCUCCUUAUACUUUUAUUUACAAAGCAAAAGCUUACAAUCCUUGUAUGCUUACGUUACAUAAGGUCUCUUUUCAGAGCCAGGUAACUUCUCUCACAUAAUUUUUCUUCAGUUAUCACUCGACAGGAAAAAUAAAUCCCCCAGAAAUAUAUCUUAUUUUCUUUUAAUUUGUCAGAUUAAUUCUUUUUAAUUUUGUCAGAUUUGCCAGAACUUGCAGUUCUAGAGGCUGGCAAUUUUGAGUGCAACUACUUCAGUAAUUUACAGAUAUGGCAAGAUUUUCCAAGUUGAGGCGUUGCUCUUUUUUACAUGAAUUAUGGGAAAUUAUCACUGAAAUUAAAUCUAUUUUGGCCAUUGGGGUUAAGGCAUACACGGAGAGGAGACAGAGGACAAACCUUCAAUUCAAAGACUCAUGAAUUUCAUUCAGCACAGCUUACCUUGUAUUCUACUUUGAACCCUGAAUCACAGAACCCAAAAAUCACUUACAACAAAUUCCUCAUUAAAAGCCUGACUAUUCCUUGAGCCAGCAGAGACUGCCUCUCUGAAAUAUCCAGUCUUGAUUACUAAGCAUUAAAAAUGAUAAAAACUCCACUCAAUCAGAUCCUGUUUUAUCCAGAAAUAACUUUUAUUCAUAAGGCUCUUUUUUCCAAACUUCAAAUGUAAUUUUAAAAAAUUUCUCUACAUUAUUCCUCAAGUAUUAUAAAAUUGCAAUGAUCAUAAGUCUUUCUAAUCUAGAUGAUAGUAGCAGACUUCCUCUUACUUAGCUGUAAAUCUCUACCAGACAUAAAUCUAAAUCCAGGUUAGCUCUGUGUGCUCUCUUUUGCAUCUGUAAUAAUACAGAAGGUUCCUACUGAAAGAAAUUAAUCAGUUACCUUAGAACAGCAUGAACAUUCUGAGCUUUUCAACUUCAAAUCUUUUAUCAAAAGCAAGUUUAGAAGAAGAGCUUAAACUGAAACAGGUAAUUAUGAGAUACUAAAGAAGUGGGGAGGGAGGGGCAAAUACCCUUGCUUACAGUUCUCUCCUAAUGAUUCUGCUGGAUUAAACUCAUUUGAAUUCCUUUAGACUCCCAAUAAUAGAGUUUCAAAAAAAAAAAAAAAA